CACGUAGGGGGCAAGCGUUGUCCGGAAUUACUGGGCGUAAAGGGUGCGUAGGCGGCAUAUUAAGUCAGGUGUGAAACCCCACGGCUCAACUGUGGGCUUGCACAUGAAACUGGUAUGCUUGAGUACAGGAGAGGAAAGCGGAAUUCCUAGUGUAGUGGUGAAAUGCGUAGAUAUUAGGAAGAACACCAGUGGCGAAGGCGGCUUUCUGGACUGUAACUGACGCUGAGGCACGAAAGCGUGGGGAGCAAACAGG
rnacentral:rRNA from 1 species